rnacentral:tRNA from 15 species
GGUUCGGUAGUUCAGCUGGAUAGAACGAUAGUCUCCUAAACUGUAGAUGUGAGUUCGAGUCUCACCCGAAUCA